rnacentral:lncRNA from 1 species
AUGCAGGACAGGACCAACUGCUGCUACUGCCCACUAUUGUGUAUCCAGGACCUGGAAUACGAAUCGGUACUUCAAGAAUCCUCCUCAAAUACGAAGGAUGUGAGAGGAGCCAGCCGCUACCUGCCUACCGCAGUCUGCUCAGCGUGGAACUAUGGACAUCUCAAGGGCAGUGUCAAGGACUCUCUUCUUUGUCACCCCUCUGAGCUGGACUCUGAGCUGGGCCCCAUGCAGCCUCUUGGCGGUGGUCAACGACGUCGCCUGAAUCAACUGGCUCCACUUCCUGCUUCCUCAUUCUGCUCAAGGUGUCACCAUGCUUACGGUCGAGGACACCGAUCUGGGCCCGGGAUCUCACCUGACUCUCUCCAGGCUCCCCAAGGACCAAAGCUCUAUUGUGGGAUCAAGGCCCCAUCUGCCUUCCUGGAGUUCCAACCAUGGCCUGCUGCCAAGUCCUGCUCCCCACCACCCUCCAUUGCCUUGUUCCCCCUGGAUUUCCACCACAGCUCUGGAUCCUCCCAAAGUCAACCACCUGGAUUCGCCCAACCGCCACCUUCCUGAACAGUAUCCUGCCCGUUAGCCUCUCCCUAGCUUCAAUUCAUUCCUUAGAAACAUAAUAAAGUUUAUGUACUCUGUAUAAUUAUAGCA